rnacentral:rRNA from 1 species
GACGAACGCUGGCGGCGUGCCUAAUACAUGCAAGUCGAACGCUUCUUUCCUCACGAGUGCUUGCACUCAAUUGGAAAGAGGAGUGGCGGACGGGUGAGUAACACGUGGGUAACCUACCCAUCAGAGGGGGAUAACACUUGGAAACAGGUGCUAAUACCGCAUAACAGUUUAUGCCGCAUGGCAUAAGAGUGAAAGGCGCUUUCGGGUGUCGCUGAUGGAUGGACCCGCGGUGCAUUAGCUAGUUGGUGAGGUAACGGCUCACCAAGGCCACGAUGCAUAGCCGACCUGAGAGGGUGAUCGGCCACACUGGGACUGAGACACGGCCCAGACUCCUACGGGAGGCAGCAGUAGGGAAUCUUCGGCAAUGGACGAAAGUCUGACCGAGCAACGCCGCGUGAGUGAAGAAGGUUUUCGGAUCGUAAAACUCUGUUGUUAGAGAAGAACAAGGACGUUAGUAACUGAACGUCCCCUGACGGUAUCUAACCAGAAAGCCACGGCUAACUACGUG